rnacentral:SRP_RNA from 1 species
GCCGGCGCAGUGGCGUGUGCCUGUAAUCCCAGCUACUCGGGAGGCUGAGGUGGGAGGAUUGCUUGAGCCCAAGAGUUCUGGGCUGUAGUGCGCUAUGCCGAUCGGGUGUCCACACUAAGUUCAACAUCAAUAUGGUGACCUCCCAGGAGUGGGGGACCACCAGGUUGCCUAAGGAGGGGUGAACCGGCCCAGGUCAGAAACCGAGCAGGUGAAAACUCCUGUGCUGGUCAGUAGUGGGAUAAACACCUGUGAACAGCCACUUCACUCCAGCCUAGGCAACAUAGUGAGACCCUGUCUCU